CACACCGCCCGUCGCUACUACCGAUUGAAUGGCUCAGUGAGGCCUUCGGACUGGCUCGGGGAGGUUGGCAACGACCACCCCGAGCCGGAAAGUUCGUCAAACUCGGUCAUUUAGAGGAAGUAAAAGUCGUAACAAGGUUUCCGUAGGUGAACCUGCGGAAGGAUCAUUACCACAUAUGCAAUCGGGGGGGCCCCUUCGGGUGGCCCCUGUCUGAAACCCUUGUCUUUUGCGUACCCAUUGUUUCCUCGGCGGGCUUGCCCGCCAGUAGGACACUAUAUAACCCUUUGUAAUUGCAGUCAGCGUCAGAAAAAACAUAAUAAUUACAACUUUCAACAACGGAUCUCUUGGUUCUGGCAUCGAUGAAGAACGCAGCGAAAUGCGAAAAGUAGUGUGAAUUGCAGAAUUCAGUGAAUCAUCGAAUCUUUGAACGCACAUUGCGCCCCUUGGUAUUCCAUGGGGCAUGCCUGUUCGAGCGUCAUUUGUACCUUCAAGCACUGCUUGGUGUUGGGUGCUUGUCCUGCGUUUUGCGCUGGGACUCACCUAAAAGUUAUUGGCAGCCGGCAUACUAGUCUUGGAGCGCAGCACAUUUUGCGCCCCUUGAUCUGCGUGUUGGCGUCCAUUAAGCCUACAAAUUUUAACUCUUGACCUCGGAUCAGGUAGGGAUACCCGCUGAACUUAAGCAUAUCAAUAAGCGGAGGAAAAGAAACCAACAGGGAUUGCCCUAGUAACGGCGAGUGAAGCGGCAUCAGCUCAAAUUUGAAAUCUGGCUCUUUCAGGGUCCGAGUUGUAAUUUGCAGAGGGCGCUUUGGCGUUGGCAGCGGUCCAAGUUCCUUGGAACAGGACGUCACAGAGGGUGAGAAUCCCGUACGUGGUCGCUAACCUUCGCCGUGUAAAGCCCCUUCGACGAGUCGAGUUGUUUGGGAAUGCAGCUCUAAAUGGGAGGUAAAUUUCUUCUAAAGCUAAAUACUGGCCAGAGACCGAUAGCGCACAAGUAGAGUGAUCGAAAGAUGAAAAGCACUUUGGAAAGAGAGUCAAAUAGCACGUGAAAUUGUUGAAAGGGAAGCGCUUGCAGCCAGACUUGCCUGUAGUUGCUCAUCCGGGCUUUUGCCCGGUGCACUCUUCUGCGGGCAGGCCAGCAUCAGUCUAGGCGGUUGGAUAAAGGCCUCUGUCAUGUACCUCCUUUCGGGGAGGCCUUAUAGGGGAGGCGCCAUGCAACCAGCCUGGACUGAGGUCCGCGCAUCUGCUAGGAUGCUGGCGUAAUGGCUGUAAGCGGCCCGUCUUGAAACACGGACCAAGGAGUCUAACAUCUAUGCGAGUGUUUGGGUGUCAAGCCCGAGCGCGUAAUGAAAGUGAACGGAGGUGGGAUCCCUUUAGGGUGCACCAUCGACCGAUCCUGAUGUCUUCGGAUGGAUUUGAGUAAGAGCAUGGCUGUUGGGACCCGAAAGAUGGUGAACUAUGCUUGAAUAGGGUGAAGCCAGAGGAAACUCUGGUGGAGGCUCGCAGCGGUUCUGACGUGCAAAUCGAUCGUCAAAUUUGGGCAUAGGGGCGAAAGACUAAUCGA
rnacentral:rRNA from 1 species